rnacentral:lncRNA from 1 species
CUGGGGCUUGUGUGCCAUGUGCCUGUGACAGACACUGGGCCAAAAUAACAACAGGUGCCAGCUCAGGCCCAGGGUGUGUGUCAGCAGAGGGGACGCUGUCCUGAGGCCACAGGGGGACAGAGAGGCCCCUGGAGGACAGACAACACCUUCACCUCCUGCCUGCAGGGCUUGGUAACAGUGGGCCAGGGUCCUGCUCCCAAAGGUAUCUGAGUCCCAUGUCACCAAGAUCCACAUCCUCUCUGCUCAGCCUCCACCUUGGCCAGGGGCAAGGUCACUGUCCACGUGUGGGAGGAGACCCAAGAAAGGGAUGUGGACAAGGUGCCACUUCAAUCCUGCCAUGAUUCCAUUCAGCCAUUUCACCUCACUGUAACUCCUGGCCCAGGCACCCAUGUGGCCGAUUCCUCAUCUCUACCCUGGGAGGGGUCUCAGGACCCAUGGGAUGUUGCUCUUAAUGCACAGAGUUACACACAACCUUUCCUCAGCUAACAAGCUGGGCUGAAAGGCUAGUAUUUCUAGGUGUCCCUUCUGACAUUUCACUUUAAUAUGAGGCUCACUUCCAGCCAGAUCCUCCUGUGCCCUCCUGGUAGGAGCCACUAUGGACAAUUCAGAGUUUGAUCAAGGCUUAAUCCUUAAUCCCUCCUGAUGAGUCAUGGGUGGGACCCCAAUUCCAUUUCUCCCCAUUGUCCCCUCACAGAUUAGAAAUCAGGUGGCUGAGAGCCUGGCAGAGGUCUGCAGAGUGAGGACAGCAUAGGCAGGCAUGCUGGAAAUCCUGAGGGAGGCCUUGGGGCAGGCCUUCCUGGACAGCUGGCCCAUCAACUGGCCCUGCUUCCCAGACCCCAUAAGGGCCUGCAUUUCCUCCCCACAGGAGGGGAUGCUGGGAAGCCUGAUGUCCUCUGUCCUUGACUCCUUGCUGGAGCUGAUCUCCCAAGUGCAUCACACCACCAAACUUCUCCUGGCCCAGCUAGAGCAUGCCAAGCCCACUGAGGCAGAGCCCAAGGAUGAGGAAGACUGUGGUGAGCAGCUCCACUCAAAGCUGAAGUCCCAGCUGCAGAGCCUGUGCCAGCUCCACCUGCAGCUUGCUCCUCAGCUCUGCCACCACAGGGAAAGCCGGUGCCAGGAACCCCUUUUCCACCAGCUGCACAGCUGGGUCACCUGGUGGCUCCUCAGCAGGUGUCAGCUCCUGAGCCCCCCCUGGGGCCAGCUCCUGCCCCACACCUGCCAUUCCCCUCUAUUACUGUUG